rnacentral:rRNA from 1 species
UACAGAGGUCUCAAGCGUUGUUCGGAUUCAUUGGGCGUAAAGGGUGCGUAGGUGGCGCCGUAAGUCAGGUGUGAAAUCUCGGGGCUCAACCCCGAAACUGCACUUGAUACUGCGGUGCUCGAGUACUGGAGAGGAGAUUGGAAUUUACGGUGUAGCAGUGAAAUGCGUAGAUAUCAGGAGGAACACCGGUGGCGAAGGCGGGUCUCUGGGCAACAACUGACGCUGAGGAGCGAAAGCGUGGGGAGCGAACAGG